UACCAAAAACACAGGUUUGUGCUAAAUCGAAAGAUGACGUAUACGAGCUGACGCCUGCCCGGUGCUGGAAGGUUAAAAGGAGAUGUGCAAGCAUUGAAUUGAAGCCCCAGUGAACGGCGGCCGUAACUAUAACGGUCCUAAGGUAGCGAAAUUCCUUGUCAGGUAAGUUCUGACCCGCAUGAAAGGCGUAAUGAUCUGGGCACUGUCUCAACAGCCCGCCCGGCGAAAUUGUAGUACCGGUGAAGAUGCCGGUUACCCGCGACAAGACGGAAAGACCCCAUGGAGCUUUACUGUAGCCUGAUAUUGGGUUUCGGUGUUGCAUGCACAGGAUAGAUGGGACGCUAGGAAAGAAGCGCUUUGGCGUUUCUGGAGCGGACGUUGGGAUACCAUCCUUGCGACAUUGGAAUUCUAACCUGCGCCUCUGAAUCGAGGCGGGGGACAUUGUCAGGUGGGCAGUUUGACUGGGGCGGUCGCCUCCUAAAAAGUAGCGGAGGCGUUCAAAGGUUCGUUCGAUCUGGACGGAAACCAGAUGAUUGAGUGCAAACGCAUAAACGAGCCUGACUGCGAGACUGACGGGUCGAGCAGAGACGAAAGUCGGAGUUAGUGAUCCGGUGGUAUGUGAGUGGAAAUGCCAUCGCUCAACGGAUAAAAGUUACCCUGGGGAUAACAGGCUGAUCUCCCCCAAGAGUCCACAUCGACGGGGAGGUUUGGCACCUCGAUGUCGGCUCAUCGCAUCCUGGGGCUGAAUUCGGUCCCAAGGGUUUGGCUGUUCGCCAAUUAAAGCGGUACGCGAGCUGGGUUCAGAACGUCGUGAGACAGUUCGGUCCCUAUCUGUCGUGGGCGCAGGAUAUUUGAAAGGCGCUGUCCCUAGUACGAGAGGACCGGGAUGGACGAACCUCUGGUGCACCAGUUGUCACGCCAGUGGCACAGCUGGGCAGCUAUGUUCGGAUCGGAUAAACGCUGAAAGCAUCUAAGCGUGAAGCCGGCCUUAAGAUAAGAUAUCCCACUGAGUCAAUCAGGUAAGACCCCUUGAAGACUACAAGGUUGAUAGGCACACAGUGUAAGCGGAGUGAUCCGUUCAGCUAGCGUGUACUAAUAGGUCGAGGGCUUGACCC
rnacentral:rRNA from 1 species